rnacentral:rRNA from 1 species
CUCUACAGCCAUGCCACCCUGAAUAAGCCCGAUCCCAUCUGAUCUCGGAAGCUAAGCAGGGUCGGGCCUGGUUAGUACUUGGAUGGGAGACCACCUAAGAAGACCAGGUGCUGUUGUAG